UUACAACACUACAAAUCUAUUACAUUUAUUGAGGACAUGAUUUGAAGCAGUGCAACGAUCUAAGUGCGGUGAAAACGAAGUCAGACCAAAGCCAGAUGCUUUAGUUCACACUGUGACUGAUUAAUGUACCUCUCAACCUCUGCAGUCUGCAACAUACUGACUGUCUUACUUGUAACCUGGUUUUAUUGGUGUUGUAGACGAUCACUGAAUUCUGUAGCUCUGUGAGAUUUGUGGCUUCAUCGAAUUACAUCACGCAGACUUGAAUGAAAAUAUGAAGACGUGAACUAGAUCUGCUAAUGCUAUUCUCUCUUUAGCAAAUAGCACGAGGUUAAUUAAAUAAGCAAGGGUAGAUUAAAAUAUAACAAUCUUUUGAAACAUAUGACAUCGUGUAUUUUACUAAAGUUUGUUGGAGGAUUGAAAUUCACUUUCAAAUGCUACUUUCGCAGCUCAGAAUGGUUAUAAUUUUAAUCUUAAAGUAAUGCAAUGUUAUUUUUCAAUCUGCUACUGACAGCAUUUGUUAUUUGAUGUUUUGAAUGGGGAAAGAGUUUGAGUAGUUCAACAAUCAUGCACAUCAGUGUUUAUGUCACUCAGUGUUAACUCUCUCGAUUCUCCGUCUCCCUCAAUGUUUGAUGACCGUCCCAGUGUUUCCCUGCGUAUUGACUGUCCGUCUCACUGUGCAGUGUUUAAUAUCUGUCUUUCAGUUUUCAAUCUCUAUCUCGUGUUAAAUAGUUCUCUUUGUAUUUAAUGUCCGUCCAACUCCUAGUGUUCAAUAUCUGUCUCAUCGUUUAUUUUCCGUCUCGCUGUUCAAUCUCCGUAUCUCAAGGUGCAAGGAGUGUAUGAUUGUAAACGUUUUGGAUUUAGCUACAGAUUUUGGAACUUUCCGAUGGUAGGUAAAUUCUCACCUACUUAACGGAUUUUUCAGCGGAGUUUCAUUGCAGUGUUUAAGGGUUCUCGGAUAAUGCUCUUAUAAAUUCAUUAUUUUA